rnacentral:rRNA from 1 species
CAGUAGCCGCGGUAAUACAGAGGGUGCGAGCGUUAAUCGGAUUUACUGGGCGUAAAGCGUGCGUAGGCGGCUUCUUAAGUCGGAUGUGAAAUCCCUGAGCUUAACUUAGGAAUUGCAUUCGAUACUGGGAAGCUAGAGUAUGGGAGAGGAUGGUAGAAUUCCAGGUGUAGCGGUGAAAUGCGUAGAGAUCUGGAGGAAUACCGAUGGCGAAGGCAGCCAUCUGGCCUAAUACUGACGCUGAGGUACGAAAGCAUGGGGAGCAAACAGGAUUAGAUACCCCCGUAGUCCCUGUCUUUAUACA